GGAAGAUUCUCAUCUCAGAACAAUGAUAAUAAUGGUGUAACGAUGACAGGGUGAUGACCACAUCCUUAACUGCCUGCCCUGUAUAAUAAUUCCCCGACAGCGACGGUUCUGUCUCCCUCCUCCUCCUCCUCCUCCUCCAUGCUCUGUUUCAGCCACCUCUGCUUUGAAUAAUCAGAAUUGCGGUGAUGACGGUUGAGGCGGCGACGGCUGAGGAGGCGGAGAUUGAUCGGCUGCCGAUCGACCUGCUGGCCCACAUACUCUCCAUGAUCGCCUCCUUCACCGAUUUGGCACAGGCCAGCGGAGUGUGCAGGAGAUGGAAGUUGGGGGUGAAGCUGUCUUUCGGGCGCAGGGAGAGUCUGAGCUUCGCGGGGUGGAAGAUGGACGACGACUCCACUGCCCGUAUCGUACGGCACGCUUACGGCCUCAAAGAGCUCGACAUAUCGAGAAGCCGCUGGGGUUGCCAGAUAACUGACAGAGGGCUCUGCAGAAUUUCCUCCGCGAAAUGCAUCGGAAACCUCACGUCCAUUUCCCUGUGGGGAAUGACGGGAAUCACAGAUGCAGGCGUCGUUCAACUGAUCUCGAGAGCCAGUUCCUUGAGGCACCUGAAUAUAGGCGGCACAUUCAUCACCGAUGAAUCGUUGUUUGCCAUUGCAAAGAGCUGUCCCCAAUUGAAGACUAUCAGCCUCUGGUGCUGCCGCCAUAUGACUCGAGGUGGACUCGUCGUCCUUGUGAGUAGAUGCUGCAAACUUAAGUCGAUUAACAUCUGGGGAACGAGGGUUCCUCUAGAUUGCUUCGCUGAUCUGCUCAGUAUCAGCCCGGAUCUCGUGAUAAAGCCGUAGAGCACCGAGAAAUCAGCCAUUUUCAGGAACCUCCUCGCCGACCAAAAGCUUGCACAUACAAUCAGUGAUUCUGCUAUAUUAUCGCAAUGGAACCCGACUCUGAAAUCUAUUACCAACGUAGAAACCCGAGAACGUGGAGCAUUACUUUUGAUAGAAAGGACCAUCAAUAUAAUGAUACAGUUUUUACUUUCUUCGUGGGUGGAUACUAAUCUCAAUUCCUACAGAGAAAAUACCGAAUUUUAAUUAUGAUAUAAACAUCCUAUGUAACUCAUAACUGAAGAACCUCAUAGUUCAUGGCAUUCUCGAGCUAUCUACUCUUCUAACCAGCAAACCCACCGUAAGACCUG